ACCACCACCCUAUAAAUUGCAAUGAAGUUGUCACAAUGGAACCCAAAGAAACGCAACUUCUAUUCAUCAUCUUCUUCCCAACCUCUUUCUUCCUUUCUCUCUCUAUCUCUAUAUGUAUAUGUGUGUAUAUAGAGUGAGAAAGUAAAGAAGCAGUGAAACCACCAUCAAUGGAUCUUGGCAAUACUGACAUAAUGAUGCUUGUUUCAGUCUCUGGGGUUUGUCAUCAACAACAGAUGACUACUUCUUUAAUUUGUCGGCCACUUCUCAGGUCUGGAAUUGACCGAAAUGCUGAUAAGAAAUCGAAGAACGUGACAGAUUUCACCACUUUUGCUACCAUGAUGAAGCAAAAGAAGAGGAGGAUGAGCUUAUCACCCAUGGCAGCUGCUGCCCCAUUGAAAACCAGUGGUUCUUCUUCUCCCAAAUUCUACCAGGAGGUUAUGACUGCUGCUAGAGCAAAUUUUACACAAGAAAUCUCUUUCCAGUCCAAGGACAAAGACAUAUCCCUUGCUAAGACUUUGCUGCAUAUUUCUGCUGAAGAUGAGGCAUUUCUUGCUUUCAAUCGUGAGAUGGAUGCCCAUUCAUUCGAAAAUGAACGAAAAGGUAGCAAGGUGACGUCUGAUGGCGAAGAUUCGAAUCACAUGGAGUCUAUGCUUAUGGAUGGAAAGAGAAUUGAUGAGUGGUUGUUUGAGUUGGAUGCCAUUUCAAAAGAAGUUGAGGUCGAAUUAAUUUCAAAAGACAUUGGUUGCCAUUUGAUUCAAGUUUUGGAGGCAGUAAACAAAGUUCUUUUCGAGACACGAGGCUUCAAACGAUCACCCGUCAUAGAUUCAAAAUGUUCCUAUUUGCAUUCUGUUCUAAGCUCCAGAUGUGGCAGCGCAAUUUUGCUUAGCGUAAUCUACAUUGAGGUUUGUCGAAGACUUAAUUUGAAUAUUGUUGGAUCCCGAGUGGGGGAAGACUUCUUGAUCUGGCCUGAAACACAAAAUCCGGAGGAGCUUUUUAAGGUAAAUUCAGGGCACACCUUAUUCGGGAUUGUUAAUGGACGUUGUGUCGAGGACCCGAAGUCAAAGGCAUCUGACGUAAAUAGCAAUACACUUCUGGGCCUUGAUAUUGCUACAAACCGCGAUAUUAUUGGGAUUUAUCUUGCUAAUUUGAUUAGGCUUCAUUGGAAACGGGCUUCAAGAAUGAAUCGUGGGUUAAUGUUGACUUCUCCGCUUAGGCCCGUUCAUGAUGAUCGUUCAAGCAUACUGUUGUUGCGUCCUCAAGAUCUUAGGUUUCAAGAUUGACAUGAGAAUUGAGAGGAGAAUUUGUUAAAUUGUGACCAAUAAUCCCCAGUUUUUUCCGAUGUUAAUCAACAAGAAAAAGAUGAAAGUUUUAACGUAUAGUCCAUUGGAAACAUGCCAAGUGUCCAUCCGUGCGUGAACUAAUUUCGAGCUUAAAUUAACCCAUGGAUGGAUAAAUGUCGUGUUCAUAGAAAAUGGGCGCAAAAAACCGUUUGAAAUACUUUUAUUUCUGAUUGCAGUGCUUGGCAUGCAUAUCUACCAUGCUUGGCUAUUUAAGCUUGUCCAUGCCUUAGUUUUAAAUGGCUUAGGUCAUGUUCAGCAACCAUAAGCUAGCUUACUUUUUGAGCUUAUUGAAAAGGCCAUGUUUCGUUAGCCAUAAACUAUCAUUUUGAAAAACUACUUGAAGUAGCCUUUUCAAUAAGCUUCGGGUGCUUUUUUCCAUUUUCCUCCAAUUAUGCCCUUUAUAUAUUUUUCAAUUAAUUUUUCGUCAUGUGCUUUUAGGUCAUUUUACAUUGUCAUCUAGCAUAUCCGCUCGUUUUUCCAAACAUGACUAGUUUCUUAUCAGCUAAAUACUAGUUUAUUAACCAACAACUAGUUUUUCGGUUAACAGUUAGCUUGUUAGGCAACAACUAGCUUUAUAUAUAUAUAUAUAUGUGUGUGUGUGUGUGUGUGUGUGCGUGUGUGUAUCGUGUCUCGUGCUUCUAUUUAGAACUAUACGCUGUACGUUUAGAUUAGAGAUUAAGUAUCCUGCAUUUUUAAUGCUCUCCGAAACUUUGAAUACCGAAUCUGGUACAGCUACCGGUUUUUCCUCAAAAGAUAAAUAUUUUAUUGCAUUGGUAUUCAGAAGUGUCGAAUAUGGACAGUUUGUUGGAUACUUUAAUUCGAUUGGCUUUGAAACUAAGAUCGUAUAGUAGCACAUAGCUUCAACUUGUGCUGUAAAUGAGUCGGUUUUUCUUGUUUUGGCAUGCCGUAUCUUUUCUAUUGCCUCAGGUUGGCUAUCAUGGCGUCGGAGAAACUGCUGAUCUUGCAGCCACAUAAUUGGGCUUUGAGGAGAGAUCAUGGCAUGAUGUUGUAUUUCAGUAGGGAAUAUGGAGAGGCGGUUCAAGAAUUAAGCAUUUGCAUGGCGUUUGCACCUGAAGAAGAGGCGGAGAUCUUGGAACCGUUUGUGGAGAAGUUGCAUUUGUUGCGACUUGAAUCGUCUUGGAAAUGUUUCGGACAAACAGGUCGUUUGACGGUUACUUAAAAACGGUCAUCGGGUCGUUUGUAGUGGAAGAGGGUUGAUGUUUUGUAGCUUGUUUAACCUUGUAAAACUGUAAGGCUAGCUACUACUUGGAUUGAACCAUGAAGCAAUACAUGAAUGAGAUUAGUUUCUAUGGCUUUUAACUGAAUACAAAUAUGUAACUUUGGUAGUG